AAAAAAAAUCCUUCCAUCCUUUGAAAGGAAGAGGGCAAGGUUGCAGAUCCUCCCAGGAACCUGGAGUUAAUGAGCCCUGCCCCACUUACAGCUCGCAGGAGGAGGUCCCAGAGCCUUCUAACAAGUUCUUCAGAGAAUGCAUGCCUGAAAUUUGCUCCUUUUUGAGUUCCCCGCCUCACUCAUUCACCUUUUGUUUUCUGAAGUUUCCUGAAAACCAACAGCAUCUCCGUUCUCACCGCUUUUACAUGAUGACCAGAGUGGUUGGAAGAGAAGUCUGUCAAGUUGCCCCAUGGUUAAGAGCAUUUUCUCCUCUUGAAGAGGACUCGAAUUUGGAUCCUAGAUCUAAAGUCCUCAUCUGGCACUGAUGGGCAAUUCGAGUACGAGAUGCACAGGAGCACGCAUGGGGAGGGGGCAUCUGAUACACAAAUAUAUAUAAAGCAAAACACCAAUGCACAUGAAAUAAAAGUAAAGAACUUUCUUUAAAAGAAAAAAAAUGAGUUACAUUUUUAAUUACAGCUUUGACAGUUGGCACUCUCAGAAGAGUGAUAAUAAAU
rnacentral:lncRNA from 1 species